rnacentral:rRNA from 1 species
AGUCUGAUGUGAAAGCCCCCGGCUCAACCGGGGAGGGUCAUUGGAAACUGGGGAACUUGAGUGCAGAAGAGGAGAGUGGAAUUCCACGUGUAGCGGUGAAAUGCGUAGAGAUGUGGAGGAACACCAGUGGCGAAGGCGACUCUCUGGUCUGUAACUGACGCUGAGGCGCGAAAGCGUGGGGAGCGAACAGGAUUAGAUACCCUGGUAGUCCACGCCGUAAACGAUGAGUGCUAAGUGUUAGAGGGUUUCCGCCCUUUAGUGCUGCAGCAAACGCAUUAAGCACUCCGCCUGGGGAGUACGGUCGCAAGACUGAAACUCAAAGGAAUUGACGGGGGCCCGCACAAGCGGUGGAGCAUGUGGUUUAAUUCGAAGCAACGCGAAGAACCUUACCAGGUCUUGACAUCCUCUGACAACCCUAGAGAUAGGGCUUCCCCUUCGGGGGCAGAGUGACAGGUGGUGCAUGGUUGUCGUCAGCUCGUGUCGUGAGAUGUUGGGUUAAGUCCCGCAACGAGCGCAACCCUUGAUCUUAGUUGCCAGCAUUCAGUUGGGCACUCUAAGGUGACUGCCGGUGACAAACCGGAGGAAGGUGGGGAUGACGUCAAAUCAUCAUGCCCCUUAUGACCUGGGCUACACACGUGCUACAAUGGGCAGAACAAAGGGCAGCGAAGCCGCGAGGCUAAGCCAAUCCCACAAAUCUGUUCUCAGUUCGGAUCGCAGUCUGCAACUCGACUGCGUGAAGCUGGAAUCG